CAGGCGCGAAAACUUCACACUGCAGGAAACUGUGAUGAGGGAACUCCAAGUGCAUGCACAAUGUGUAUGCUUUUCCUAACUUUUAAUCGGUUAGGGAAUAAGGGCUGGGAAAGACCGGUGCCAGCCGCCGCGGUAAUACCGGCAGCUCAAGUGGUCGUCGCUUUUAUUGGGCCUAAAACGUCCGUAGCCUGCUUGGUAAAUCUGUGGGUAAAUCAACCAGCUUAACUGGUUGAAUUCUGCAGAGACUGCCAGACUAGGGACCGGGAGAGGUGUGGGGUACUCUCGGGGUAGGGGUAAAAUCCUGUCAUCCUGGGAGGACCACCAGUUGCGAAGGCGCCACACUGGAACGGAUCCGACGGUCAGGGACGAAGCCUAGGGGCACGAACCGGAUUAGAUACCCGGGUAGUCCUAGGAGUAAACGCUGUGAACUUGGUGUCCGGGGAUCCUACUUGCGGUUGCCCCGGGUGCCUGCGGACGUGAAGAUGUUAAGUUUUCACUGCUCUUGGGGAGUACGGUC
rnacentral:rRNA from 1 species